AGGGCUUCAGAAUGCAAAACCAGACAUCCCAAGAGCAGCCUGUGCAUUAUAAGGCUGUCCCCCACCAACCCUGGACAGUGAACAAGAUUGAAGACAGAUCUGUGUCGAUCUUGAGUGCUGUUGGGAAUAAAUGCCCAGCAUGAAGCUGACAAGAGUGGCCACCGGGCUGGACCAACUUCAACCAAGGGCAAAGUUUUGAGUCCUCUUGUGGUCAGAAAAACAAACUCAACCUGGGGAGGCCAACUCACUUGCUUGUAUCCUGAAAGUUAAUACCUGGCAGAGCAGUGGCUUUCAUGCCACUCCAUCCAAAGCCCAGGCAUGUGGAAUGGAGCUCUUCUUGAAACAAGCACUGGAGACUGAUCACCAGAAGGUUCUAGGCUAGUCUGAACAGAAGGAAUGCACAAAGAAGUAACAUGUUAGAGGUUAAAGUUGUAUAUUGCAUCCUAUGUCCAUGUUGUUUACUUAGGUGGCAUUAGUGCCAAUGAAAAGCCCC
rnacentral:lncRNA from 1 species